GAAUCAAGAAAUACUCUAUUUCACCAGAGGAAUCCUUGCAAAUACAUUUUACUCCACUAUGCAAAAUCCUGUGGAACCAGUUUUUUAUACAUAUUUUUAGCUGAAAGAUCAAGGAAAUGUGUCACAGUUGGGGACCUGUAUCAUAAUUAUCUCUGUAGGUUCUACAGCAUCCAGCAUGAUGUCCAAAGUAGCGAGAUUGGAAAAUGCCAAAGCAAUUGGGGAAAAAAAUACUGUUUUCUCUGAAAUGAAGACUCCUCAAGAUCCUGUUGCUGGAAUGAGUAUUGGACUCUUCGGUCUACUUCUACAGUCACCAGUACAUCUGGCAUACACUAUGAUGCCCAACAGUAGGAAGAUGAAAGAAAUGUAGAUGUUGGCAUUUCUAAAAGAGAUGUUGUAUCUUUUUUCCUACUUAAUAGACUAUUAGGCUAUAAAUCUCAAUCUUGGCCAGCAAA
ensembl:lncRNA SNHG31 small nucleolar RNA host gene 31